CUCGGGGGUGGGGGGUGGUCCCUCAGCCCAGAUUGCAAGAGGGUGCAGGCCAGGCUGAGCAACCCCGCUAGUGCAGG
rnacentral:pre_miRNA from 1 species